GAAACAGGUGCUAAUACCGUAUAGCACUAUUUUCCGCAUGGAAGAAAGUUGAAAGGCGCUUUUGCGUCACUGAUGGAUGGACCCGCGGUGCAUUAGCUAGUUGGUGAGGUAACGGCUCACCAAGGCCACGAUGCAUAGCCGACCUGAGAGGGUGAUCGGCCACACUGGGACUGAGACACGGCCCAGACUCCUACGGGAGGCAGCAGUAGGGAAUCUUCGGCAAUGGACGAAAGUCUGACCGAGCAACGCCGCGUGAGUGAAGAAGGUUUUUGGAUCGUAAAACUCUGUUGUUAGAGAAGAACAAGGAUGAGAGUAAAAUGUUCAUCCCUUGACGGUAUCUAACCAGAAAGCCACGGCUAACUACGUGCCAGCAGCCGCGGUAAUACGUAGGUGGCAAGCGUUGUCCGGAUUUAUUGGGCGUAAAGCGAGCGCAGGCGGUUUCUUAAGUCUGAUGUGAAAGCCCCCGGCUCAACCGGGGAGGGUCAUUGGAAACUGGGAGACUUGAGUGCAGAAGAGGAGAGUGGAAUUCCAUGUGUAGCGGUGAAAUGCGUAGAUAUAUGGAGGAACACCAGUGGCGAAGGCGGCUCUCUGGUCUGUAACUGACGCUGAGGCUCGAAAGCGUGGGGAGCGAACAGGAUUAGAUACCCUGGUAGUCC
rnacentral:rRNA from 1 species